UCCUGUCUGAAUAUGGGGGGACCAUCCUCCAAGGCUAAAUACUCCUGACUGACCGAUAGUGAACCAGUACCGUGAGGGAAAGGCGAAAAGAACCCCGGCGAGGGGAGUGAAACAGAACCUGAAACCGUGUACGUACAAGCAGUGGGAGCACAGGUUUACCUGUGUGACUGCGUACCUUUUGUAUAAUGGGUCAGCGACUUAUAUUCUGUAGCAAGGUUAACCGCAUAGGGGAGC
rnacentral:rRNA from 1 species